UAUAUACUGUAUUCAGGAAUGUGUCUUCUGAGGAAACUGUUGAUUUGGGGGAAUAAUAAUAAUAAAGUUCAAACAUAGACCUAUAUACCCCAUCCCACCCACAGACUAUUUUAAAACGGAGGAUUUUAAAAACAAAUUGAUAUAUAACCAUAUAUAUAUGGUUCUCUUUCCCUUUACUUCUGAUUCUAAGCUUCCUACCUUUCUGUAUGAAAGGGCUGAUGCAAUCUGUGAACAGCUGUCAUGAAACCUUGAAAGAGAAAUAUUGCUCUGGAAAUUUUAUAUCUUCAAUUGGGCAAGUAACUAGGAGAAAAAAUACAGGAGUCCAUGGUCAGCAUCAGAAAGCAGCAGACAUUGGGAUGAAGUUGGGCUUCAGAAGUCUGUUAACCCUAAGGAAGAAGAUGAAUAUUUACACAUUUUAAGAAUCUAGGUCUCCCCAAAUAAGUAUAAAGUCAAAAUAGCUGAAUGGUUUCCUUUUUGUCUUUGCGGCUAAAAAGAAAUAGAGAUAGGACAAUAUGGAGUUCUUCCUUCAUGUGCCUUGGCAGGGAAUUGACAUUCAAUAUUUACUUUGUACAACCUGUUAUCUUUCAUUUAGGAUUCUCACAACAUACCUGAGCUCCAAUAAGUUAUCAAUGAAAACUUAACAAUCCAUUGUGGAGAUCCAGUAAAAAAUGAGACAGGAAGAUUAUAAUAGGCAAAUCAGAAUACACACCCAAGACAUCUAGUUAUUGUUGACUAAUAUAGAAGGAACUUGAACUUGAAAUUCAAGUAAAUAAACAAAUUAGGAGAACUUAAGGUACUAAAAAACAAAACAAAACCCUCAUUUGAACAACUUAGUGGACAUUGGAAGGAAAACAUGAUUACUGUUGAAAUAUGGUGGACAUGGUGGCACAUGCCAGUAAUUGAUUGCAAAUUCACAGUCAAUGUCGGCAAUUAGUGAGACCCUGUAUCAAACUAAAAAAUGAAAAAAAGGACUGGGGAUGUAGCUCAGUGGUAGAGAGUCCCUGUACUGGAAAAAAAAAAUAAAAGAAAAGAUGAAGAAAUUUGAAUUAAUAUAUACUAAAAGACAAAUGCAAGAAAUAUAUCAAAGCACAACAUAAACUAAAACAAUAUCUUGAAUAAAAAAGGUGAGAUUUUGCAAAUAUAGAAAUCAAAACAUGAAUAGUAGUAUAAUUACAGAGGAAGAACUUAGAAUAAGGAGAAAUAUAAUUAAAAAUGUUAAAAGUAAAUUUAUCUGAGAUUAAGAAAAAUCAGUUUAUGAAUUUAAAGGGUUUACUAAUUUAAGGUCUUGAUCAAAAGAAAAAAACAGGCAUUUCCUGAUAAAGUUCUGAAUUCUACAUGUCAAUUGAAACAUAACUCUCAAGUAAAACAAAUUCCUAUAAAGAAUAGUAUACCAAAGUCUCAUAGGACUACAUAUCCACAAUACUGGAAAUUAGAAGAUAAACUACUGCAGAUUUCAAAAAGGAAAUAAGUAUAAUCCAAAAAUCUCAGUCAUCAAUUGGACCUAAGAUGAAAUACAUUUAGACAUACGCAGGAGCUGAGAGUAUAUAAUAAUUACACACCAUCUGAGAAAAUGCCUGAGAAUAGAUUAUAAGCAAGCAACAAAUGAACCUCAACAAAGUCUUCAGGAUGAAGACAAUGAAGAAAAUAGUGAAUAAUAAUGAACAUUUACAUAUAAUUCUGCAUGUGUGAAUAUAGGUAAAAUUUCAUCUUAAAGAGGUAUCAAGCAAUAUUUAAAAUAAGCAAUUUCAGGGCCUUGAAAUAAAAGAAUCCUAUUUCUGUAAGAAAAAAAUUAAGUGUAGUACACGUCCCAUUGAAACAGAAGGGGCUGGGUAGCUGAAGUGUCAGAGGAGGAAAAUGAUAAGGAUGGGAAGCAAGGAAGAAAAAAAGAAAGGGAUGUAUUCUAAAGAUAUCACAGGAGAAAAUGAAGGUGUGGAAUCUUGGUGGGAGAAAACUGUCACAUAAUGAACAGACACAUAUAUCUGUUUAUAGAGUUAGAAAAGAGAAGAUAAUAGAAAAUCACUUAGAACUUCCAUAUUAAGAAAACAAUAGAAUGCAUAAGCACUUUUUCAAACAAAGAGGAAUGAGAAAACAAUAACAAAAAUAAAGUAAUUGUCUGAAGAUAUAAAAUUGAGUAUUAUAAACUAUUACAUUUAAUAAACAUGGACUAAGUUCUCCCAUUAAAAGAUGAUGUCAGAUUACAUUAAAAACGUAAGUCAGACAUAUUACAAGAAAAAGUUAUAAAGAAAAGAUGAUAAAAUGAUGGGUAUAAAGAUACAAAGACAAUGCAAACAAAAACAGGAAAAUAUGAGUGGUAACAUUGACAUCAAACAAGAUAGGAUUUAAGGUUAAAAGUUUUGAAAAGAGACAAAAAGUGGUACUAUAAUAAUAAAUGGUGUAUUUAUGAGAAAUAUCAGACCAUAGAAUACAAUGUAGUCUUUAAAA
rnacentral:lncRNA from 1 species